AGAGUUUGAUUCUGGCUCAGAACGAACGCUGGCGGCGUGGAUAAGACAUGCAAGUCGAACGGUGACUAAAAGGUAGUAAUAUUUUUUAGUUAUAGUGGCGAAAGGGUGCGUAACACGUGGGUAAUCUGCCGUAAUGUUUGGAAUAACUUGCCGAAAGGUAAGCUAAUACCGGAUGUGGAACUCUUGAGGCAUCUUAAGAGUUCCAAAGCUGGGGACCGCAAGGCCUGGCGCAUUAUGAUGAGCCCGCGGCCUAUCAGCUUGUUGGUGAGGUAAUGGCUCACCAAGGCUAAGACGGGUAGCCGGUCUGAGAGGACGGUCGGCCACACUGGAACUGAGACACGGUCCAGACACCUACGGGUGGCAGCAGUCGAGAAUCAUUCACAAUGGGGGAAACCCUGAUGGUGCGACGCCGCGUGGGGGAUGAAUGGCUUCGGUCAGUAAACCCCUGUCAUUAGUGAACAAACCUUUUAGGGUAAUACCUUAAAAGCUGAUAGUAGCUAAAGAGGAAGGGACGGCUAACUCUGUGCCAGCAGCCGCGGUAAUACAGAGGUCCCAAGCGUUGUUCGGAUUCACUGGGCGUAAAGAGUGCGUAGGUGGCUAGGUAAGUUUGAUGUGAAAGCUCCGAGCUCAACUCGGAAAUUGCAUUGAAAACUGCUUGGCUAGAGGGUCGGAAGGGAGACUGGAAUUUUCGGUGUAGCAGUGAAAUGCGUAGAUAUCGAGAGGAACACCAGUGGCGAAGGCGAGUCUCUGGACGAAUCCUGACACUGAGGCACGAAAGCUAGGGGAGCAAACAGGAUUAGAUACCCUGGUAGUCCUAGCCGUAAACGGUGCACACUUGCUAUGAGCGGAUUCGACCCCGUUCGUGGCGUAGCUAACGCGUUAAGUGUGCCGCCUGGGGAGUACGGUCGCAAGAUUAAAACUCAAAGAAAUUGACGGGGGCCUGCACAAGCGGUGGAGUAUGUGGCUUAAUUCGAUGCAACGCGAAGAACAGAUCGGAAGAGCACACGUCUGAACUCCAGUCACUUCGCAAAUCUCGU
rnacentral:rRNA from 1 species